GGGUUUUUUUGGGGUUUCUUUGGGAUUUCUUUGGAAUUUUUUUGGGAUUUUUUUGGGAUUUUUUUUGAAUUAUUUUUAAAUUUUUUGGGGAUUUUUUGGGGGAUUUUUUGGGAUUUUUUGGGGAUUUUUUUGGGAUUUUUUUUAGAUUUCUUUGGGAUUUUUUGGGAUUUUUUUCAGGAUUUUUUGGAAUUUUUUUGGGGAUUUUUUGGGAUUUUUUGGGGUUUUUUGGGGAUUUUAUUUUGGAUUUUUUUGGGAUUUUUUGGGGGAUUUUUUGAGGAUUUUUUGGGAUUUCUUUGGGAUCUUUUUGGGAUUUUUUUUUUAUUUUUUUUGAAUUUUUGGGGGAUUUUUCGGGGAUUUUUUUGGGGAUUUUUUGAGGAUUUUUUGGGGAUUUUUUUGGGGAUUUUUUGGUGGAUUUUGGGGUGAGGAAAUGAGGAUUUUGGAGUGUGGGGGAGGGGCCAGGUGUGUCCAGGUGUGUCCCCAGGUGUGUCCAGGUGUCCCCAGGUGCGUUCCAGACCAGGUUCCAGAACGUUCUAGAGGUUCUAGACUCGGUUCUAGAUCGGGUUCUAGAUCGGGUUCUAGAACGUUCUAGGUACGUUCCAGAUCAGGUUCUAGAACGUUCUAGAUCGGGUUCUAGGUGUGCUCUAGGUACGUUCUAGAGGUUCUAGAUCACGUUCUAGAACGUUCUAGACUCGGUUCUAGACUCGGUUCUCGAUCGGGUUCCGGACUGUUCCAGAACCGGUUCCAGACUGGGUUCCAGAGCAGGUUCCAGACUGGGUCCCCAGGUGUGUCCAGGUGUGUCCCAGGUGUCCCCAGGUGUAUCUCAGGUGUCCCCAGGUGUAUCUCAGGUGUCCCCAGGUGUAUCUCAGGUGUGUCCCCAGCUGUCCCCAGCUGUGUCCCAGGUGUGUCCCCAGCCCCCCCAGGUGUGUCCAGGUGUGUCCAGGUGUCCCCAGGUGUAUCUGAGGUGUCCCCAGGUGUGUCCCCAGGUGUUCCAGGUGUGUCCCCAGCUGUGUCAGGUGUAUCCAGGUGUAUCUCAGGUGUCCCCAGCUGUUCCAGGUGUCCCCAGGUGUGUCCCAGGUGUAUCUCAGGUGUCCCCAGGUGUAUCUCAGGUGUCCCCAGGUGUAUCUCAGGUGUGUCCCCAGCUGUCCCCAGGUGUCCCCAGGUGUCCCCAGGUGUCCCAGGUGUCCCCUGUCCCCGCAGGAAGAUCCAGGAGGAAUCUCUCCGCACGUACCUGUUCACCUACAGCAGCGUCUACGACUCCAUCAGGUGGAUUUGGGCUGAAAAACGGGGA
rnacentral:lncRNA from 1 species